UUAUGAUGCAAGCCUCCACAUGCUUCUCUGUCCAUCCAAGUUGAAACUGCAAUCUAAUCACACUUCCCAUUUGCCAUGAUCUUUAGUUUUUUUAUAUAACAUUAGUCAAGGGUCUAACUUUGUUCUUUUGCACAUAAAUAUCCAGCUUUCCUAGUAUCAUUUGUUUGAAUCAUUGAUUGAAGUUUGCCAAAACCAUUCAAUCCUGAAGAAUUAUCAAUUGUUGAAGGCGACUGAUAAUACUUCGAGAUUGAAUGGUUUUGGCAACCUUCUCAAAAAUCAUUUAACCUUAUAUGUGAAGGUUAUGUAUUCUUGGGCUCUCUUUUCUGUUCCAAUGAGCUAUAUGUCUGUGUUUAUACCAGUACCACACUGUUUUGAUGACUGUAAGUUUGUAAUAUAAUUUGAAAUCACGAAGUGUGAGAUUUUCAACUUGGUUCUUUUUCAGAAUUGCUCUUGAUGAUUUGGAACCCCUAGAGAUUCCAUGCAACUUUUAGGAUGGAUUUUUCUAUUUCUGCAAAAGAUGGCAUUGUGAUUUUCAUAAGGAUUGCAUUAAGGCUGUAGAUUGUUUUGUGUAGUAUUGUCAUUUUAACAAUAUAAAGUAUUCCAGUUUAUGAACAUAGGUAUCUUUCUUUAUAUUUAUGUCUUCUUUAAUAUCUUUCAACAAUUUAUUAUUAUUUUCUUUCAUUUGUUUGUUUUUUGAGAUGGAUCUCCUUCUGUCACCCAGGCAGGACUGCUGUGACAACAUCUUGGCUCACUGCAACCUCCACCUCCCAGGUUCAAGUGACUCUCCUGCCUUGGCCUCUUGAGUAGCUGGGGUUACAGGCAGGCACCACCACGCCCAGCUAUUUUUCUGUUUUUAGUAGAGAUGGGAUUUCACCAUGUUGGCCACUCUGGUCUCAAACUCCUGAACUCAGGGGAGGGGACUCAAGAUGGCGCUGUGAGAACAACCCAGGAUUGGAGCCCGCGUUGAAUCCGCAAACGGUGAGUCAGUGCUGCAUUUCCAGACUGAUCUUUGUUGCCCACAGAACGGGGAAACUCCCAAAUAUAAAAAGACACGGGACGCCAGGCAGUAGGUCUGCCUGGCGAAGCCGGCAGCCGGGGCGGCGGCGGCCGGCCCUACCCAGCAAUCCCCACAGGGCGCGCUUGUCCGGGUGCCUUGUUGAACCGGCAAC
rnacentral:lncRNA from 13 species